rnacentral:misc_RNA from 1 species
AACGCACCUUGCGCUCCUUGGUAUUCCGAGGAGCAUGCCUGUUUGAGUGUCAUGAAAAUGUCAACUGCUUUUAGCAUUUAUGAUAAAAGUGAAGUUGGAAUUGGAGGAUAAUUGCUGGCGUGACUUAGGUUGCUUGUUGGCUCCUCUUGAAUGCAUGAGCGUUUCUAAUAGAUCAUGGCUUAGCGACACUAAUGUGAUAAUUAUCUAUGUUAGAUGUAGAAAGCUGUGAGUAGGGGCGACUUCAAUUAUGGAGGAGCUCCUAUAGAAAGGCGUGAGAUGAUAAUAACACAUCUGACCUCAAAUCAGGUAGGACUACCCGCUGAACUUAA